AGUUAUUUGUUUUACAAGGGGGCAAAGUUGUUGUUUAACCGCUCGUGCUAAUAUUGAUACCCGAGCAAGCGAAAGAUUCCAAAAUCUAGUUCGAACAAUGGAAUCUUGAGCGUUGCGAGGGUUUCAAGGCACGAGGGUUAAACAAAUUUUGCCACCGAGUGACACACAACAUUUUUCACCACACCAACACAAGGAAAAAACUAACUGUGAAAUAUCAAACAAAAUCAAAGCAAAUCGAUUCAAAAUUAAUUUUAUUGAAUAUUGAUCAUUCAAAAUCAUCAUUUAAAAGUCAAUUUUACCAGCAAA